GCAGCCGCAACUGGAACCAAGUUGAUCGCCAACAGUUGGUACCUCCAAUAGUUGAUGGACAUUUUCUGAGAAAGUUGGUGGCAAAAGUUGUAAAUCCAAAAAGUUGACGAUCACUUUCUGAGAAAGUUGGUGGCAAAAGUUGCUUGUAAAAGUUGGUGAUCAUAAGUUGACGGUAAGUUUACUUUCAAUUUCCUCAGAAACUUGCAUUCCAGUUGCGGCUCCAUACUGCCGCCAACUUUCUGAGAAAGUUGGCGUUAACUUGUAGCCAAAAGUUGCAAAAGCUGAAGUUGUCGAUAACUUGUCGUCAAGUUGGUCGAAAACUAAUGAAUGACCAACUUUUUCUCGAUCAACUUGUGUUAUCAGGGAAAGAAGGACCUGGACCACUACUACUGAAGUUGUCGAUGAUACUGACUGCCGCUAUCGAACCGUCAGUUGAUACUCAGCAAUCGACUUUGCGAUUUUCUCUGGCCCCCCACUCUGAAAAGAAUUUCAUCGAUAUUCUUGUUCAAUAUUCUUAUUCUUGUUCUUGUUCGAUAUUCGAUAUUUGUAUAGAAAAAAAAUUUGUAUAGAAUGAAAUUUAUUGUAACUGCGCGUAAUUGUUAAUUUUUAAUACUUUUUUUAUUGCGUUGAACUUUAACUUUCCAGAUAAAAACUACCGAUAGACGAUUUUUAAUGAAAUAGUUCGAGUGUCAAGGAAUUGAUAUUUAGAAGAAAAAAUCUCAGAGCCUGCGUUUCAGUUGCGUUGAAAAAUAAAUGCGGUCGAAGCUAGAUGUCAGAUAACGAAUCCACUGGCUAUAAAUAUUAGAGAAACUCAUUUCUAGUUCAGCAUAUCCAUUCUUGCAACGAUUUACAACAAAGUCUCUGUACUGAUCACGAGAAAAAAAACGAAAAUGAAUAAAAUAUUUUUACUGUUAUCAAUUUUAUUCAUAAUCGGGCUUCUUGCCAAUGCAGCUAAAGGAUGCGAAGGCCAAUGGUGUCAUCCAGCAGGAGGGACUCAUUGUUGUCAAUUUCACGAAUGUACCCAAUGGCUUUUGCCAGGUAGGUGCGAAGAGGAAGAAGACGACGAUUGAAUCCUCACCAGAAAAUAAACAAGAAAUUGUGUUGGAAAAUUUAUUACAACGAAAUGCUGUCUCAUCGAUUUUGUACUAUUGGUCAAUAAAUAUAAAUAUUAAUAAAUACUA